UUGCAUUUAUUUGACAGAUCUGGAGCAGUUACUCUCUGCUGCAAAGGCUGCCACUACAGAUGCAAGAGGAAAGGGCCCUCAUGAUUUCUGUUUGAUUGUGGCCACCAAGUUUAAAUGCGGGAAUGU
rnacentral:snoRNA from 1 species